rnacentral:rRNA from 1 species
ACCAUGCAGUCGAACGAUGAUGCCCAGCUUGCUGGGCGGAUUAGUGGCGAACGGGUGAGUAAUACGUGAGUAACCUGCCCUUGACUCUGGGAUAAGCCUGGGAAACUGGGUCUAAUACUGGAUACUACCGUCCACCGCAUGGUGGGUGGUGGAAAGGGUUUUACUGGUUUUGGAUGGGCUCACGGCCUAUCAGCUUGUUGGUGGGGUAAUGGCUCACCAAGGCGACGACGGGUAGCCGGCCUGAGAGGGUGACCGGCCACACUGGGACUGAGACACGGCCCAGACUCCUACGGGAGGCAGCAGUGGGGAAUAUUGCACAAUGGGCGGAAGCCUGAUGCAGCGACGCCGCGUGAGGGAUGACGGCCUUCGGGUUGUAAACCUCUUUCAGUAGGGAAGAAGCGAGAGUGACGGUACCUGCAGAAGAAGCGCCGGCUAACUACGUGCCAGCAGCCGCGGUAAUACGUAGGGCGCAAGCGUUGUCCGGAAUUAUUGGGCGUAAAGAGCUCGUAGGCGGUUUGUCGCGUCUGCUGUGAAAGCCCGGGGCUCAACCCCGGGUCUGCAGUGGGUACGGGCAGACUAGAGUGCAGUAGGGGAGACUGGAAUUCCUGGUGUAGCGGUGAAAUGCGCAGAUAUCAGGAGGAACACCGAUGGCGAAGGCAGGUCUCUGGGCUGUUACUGACGCUGAGGAGCGAAAGCAUGGGGAGCGAACAGGAUUAGAUACCCUGGUAGUCCAUGCCGUAAACGUUGGGCACUAGGUGUGGGGGACAUUCCACGUUUUCCGCGCCGUAGCUAACGCAUUAAGUGCCCCGCCUGGGGAGUACGGCCGCAAGGCUAAAACUCAAAGGAAUUGACGGGGGCCCGCACAAGCGGCGGAGCAUGCGGAUUAAUUCGAUGCAACGCGAAGAACCUUACCAAGGCUUGACAUUCACCGGACCGCCCCAGAGAUGGGGUUUCCCUUCGGGGCUGGUGGACAGGUGGUGCAUGGUUGUCGUCAGCUCGUGUCGUGAGAUGUUGGGUUAAGUCCCGCAACGAGCGCAACCCUCGUUCUAUGUUGCCAGCACGUGAUGGUGGGGACUCAUAGGAGACUGCCGGGGUCAACUCGGAGGAAGGUGGGGAUGACGUCAAAUCAUCAUGCCCCUUAUGUCUUGGGCUUCACGCAUGCUACAAUGGCCGGUACAAAGGGUUGCGAUACUGUGAGGUGGAGCUAAUCCCAAAAAGCCGGUCUCAGUUCGGAUUGAGGUCUGCAACUCGACCUCAUGAAGUCGGAGUCGCUAGUAAUCGCAGAUCAGCAACGCUGCGGUGAAUACGUUCCCGGGCCUUGUACACACCGCCCGUCAAGUCACGAAAGUUGGUAACACCCGAAGCCGGUGGCCUAACCCCUUGUGGGAGGGAGCCGUCGAA